UACAGAGGGUGCGAGCGUUGUCCGGAAUCACUGGGCGUAAAGGGCGCGUAGGUGGCGGCCCAAGUCCAUGGUGAAAGCUCGAUGCUCAACAUCGAGUCGGCCACGGAUACUGGGUUGCUCGAGCACUGUAGGGGCAGAUGGAAUUCCGGGUGUAGCGGUGGAAUACGUAGAGAUCCGGAAGAACACCGGUGGCGAAGGCGGUCUGCUGGGCAGCUGCUGACACUGAGGCGCGACAGCGUGGGGAGCAAACAGG
rnacentral:rRNA from 1 species